GUUUGUUUCCUUAGGGCCUCAGAGAAGAAGGGACUCGAAGAGAUGAGCACCAUGGUUUUGAUGUACAGUAGAACAUACAAGUAUGUGUUUAACGCCUCUCCUUUGUAGUCAUAUAAUACCUGUUUGUAAGUGUGAUGAACUCUGUAGGCAAUGUUUUGUACCCUUUUUGCUUGUAUACUUUCUUUGCUUGUGUACACAUGUAUUCAAGUAGAUCAACAAAGAAGAAAAAGACUGAACGAAUGCCACUGGAUUUGGUAGGAUAUGCUUAUUUGUUUUCUCUCUCUCUCUCUCUCUCCCUCCAAUUGUUGAUUUGUCUAUUGUGUAGUUGUGGAGCAGCAGGCAUUUCGUUCUCAGUGGUUUCAUGUCGCUAUUUGAAGGUUUAGAGUUUUGUUAAGUGGUGACUCUAUGAUGUUAUUCUCAAGUUAGCUAUUUGAUUUGUGCUUAUGUAAAUGUAAGUCGAGAUUCAAGGAACUAGUGGCGAUGGUUUAAGAUUCGUGCAAGGAUCUGGGAACCGGUACCAACGGACGAAAACUAACCGAAACGCAUCACCGUAGAAAUGCGUUGAGAUGAAAACUAGGAUCUAAACACAAAUCACGAUGCAUCCUCGAUGUCUAGUGACGAUUUCUUCUUCCCCACGGUACCCUCGCUUCUUUUCCUGGCGGCGGACGGAAUACCCAAUUAGAAGAGAGGAAGAAGAAGGGGAGAAAGAAGGACGAUGUGAGGAGGCAAAGGAGAAGAGACGGAAGAACAAAGAAGGGGAAGGGAAUGGUGUUCAACGCAGGGUGGGUGGCGGCGGUGGCGAGGGAGUCGGCCGAGGCGUGCCAGUACGUGGCUUGCAACCCGGAACGGCUUAGCAGUGAGGAAGUGCUCGACCUCCUCUUCUGCCUCCCCCUCCGCCAUCUCCGCGGCUUCGCCCUCUGCCUCUUCUCCUUCCUCUGCUUCCCACCCUUCCUGUCCGACGACCUCCGCCGCAACCGUCUCUAUUACCUCGGAUCCUCCUCCUCUUCGUCGUCCUCCUCAGACGAAUAUGACUCCACCGGCGGCGGCUACGACUCGCAUUCCGACUGAUGGAUAGAAUCCGGCGGAUCUCUGUUCACUAUGCACAGUUAAAUUUGGCACUAAAACUGUUCCAUUAUCAGGAUCGUUAAAUUUGAGUUACAAACAUUUCAGGUCUUAUAGCUUCUUACAUAAUUGUCAGUGUUUCUUGAUCUAUUAUCAUCAGCUCUUCUUACUUGCAUUCUUUAACUUGAUAUGAAUAUUCUCCUAUUUAAGAUCAAGUUCCAUUUAUUAGCUUACAUUGCUUUAUUUGCUAACUUCUAGGUCAUUCUUUUAGUUCCUCUAGUAUAUAUGCUUUGUUUUAGGUGCUGCAUUUUUUAUGGAUCCUAAUCUGGUUUGAUUCUGUAAUCAUUAUCGUAGGAUUUUAGAUAAGCAAAUCACUCUCCAGAUGAUAAAUAUGCAUGUGAUGCCGAUUGUUUGCACAUCUUACGUAUGAUCCAUCGCAGCUUGUCGUCUUUCUUUUAUAAGUCCUCUGUCUGGUUUACAGCUUAAGAUCUUACAUGUUAGCCUUUGAUGCAAGUGUUUCUUUAUUGUUUGCUACUUUUUAUAUUUCUGAAUAAUAAUCUGUCUUUUUUUAUUGGCACUCUUUUAUAUGAGCAUGAAACUAUCAAUCUGUGGAAUUGCAUAUUGAUUACAAAAAAACUUCACUUAACAGUUUGUUUGGAGGAACAAUGAUGCUUAUUUCCACAUAGUGCUUUCAGUGUUUAUUAUUUUGCAUUGAUCUGUAUUGAAUAUCAAAUUUUUAAAAGCUAUUGUUCAGAACAUAGUCAUAAUAAACCUACUGCUUCGGAUCCUAUUCUUUGGUUUCAGAACAAUGUCCAGACAUUAUAUAUAUUCAAUUUAAAUAAGAAACAAGAAGUUUUUAAAUUUAAUUUUUUUUGUUCAUUUCUUUCUCAUCUAUAUACUGUUAGAAGGCAUUAUUUUAUUAUAAUCAGGAGUUUGUUUCAUUUGUGAAGUUUUCUUUUUCAAUACCAAUUAGGAGUUUGUUCCCUGUGGAAGUAUCUAGGGAAAGAUGGAACUCUGUAACUAUGUAUACAUAGAAAAAAGGAUCAAACAGUCUGAAAUGAACAACAUAUUUGAGACUUAAAUGAAGUACCAUAAUCUUUCUAAUGCCUCAAGGCUCUUAUAUAAAUUAUGUUUGUGGCAUGUGUAAGAAAUAAUGAAAUAUAGGUAUACCUAUUGAUGCAAACUUUGUUUAUUUGAGGCGAGGAUGGGAUGUUUGACCUGCUGAUGCAAGCUUUUUGAAAAGGAAUCAGUGUCAAAAGUACAAAAAAAAUAUUUGUGUUCAUUCACUUAAGCUACAAUAUGCAUAUAUGUUUUAGUUAUUUUCAUUACCAACCAUGCAGGUUGUGUAGCUUUCAGGUAUAGUUAUCUCACUUGAAUGUACUAUGUUAAGACAAAUUUGUUCUUAUUUGAAGUUGCUGUGGCUUUGUUUGGACAGUAUUGUA